rnacentral:lncRNA from 1 species
GGUUCUUACAUGAUGUUGUACUUGCAGACACAGUCAAUGAAGCAAUUGACAACACUAUUGUCGGCGCUGUUAUUGGAGGCUUUGUGAUACUUUUAGUCGUUGGUGUUGGUAUUCUCCUUUGGAUUAAAAUGUGCAGAAAGCCAAGGCAAGGACCUGAAGGCAACAAUACCACGUCCGACUCUGUAGGAAAGACACCCCAAGAAACGACAACAUGUUUGACUGAGUCGGAGAAGAAUGACCACAGAAAAUGGACAUGUGUCGAGAAGCUCAGACAGCUGUGGUUUCCCGGAUCUUCAGCCUCGGGUUCAUCUGUAGUGUGACAAAGUGAAAUAUUAUACAACCUCACCACACAGUGAUAACUGUUAUGCUGAAUGUGCACUUUACUGUAGACUUCAGACAUUUGACCCCAUCAUGGGUAACGAAGUUUCCAGAAAAGUUCUUAGGCAAAGCACUAACUUGUGCACUCGUGAACCACGUGAUACAUCACAGGGCAAAUUCGUUCUAAGAGUCAUUUCAUACGCCCGAGACAGUGUUGACUUAUUGCGGGAUGAAUGUUUACACAAAUUGUAAAUAUUUAUGGAAAGUUGUGUUAGAAUGUUCCCUGGUUGUCAUGUGAUAACUUAAAUGGGGAAGUAACAGUUAGUGUCUAGGGUGAAGUGUUUACAAGCCUGAGGCCCAUCAUGUAGAAAAGGGAGGGUAUAUGCCAGUGUAGAUGUGUAAUCUGAGGUCGGAGCGCAAAAAUGGGAGACAGCAAUAAUUGUGGUUACAGCAGCCAAGCUCGACCAGCUUGCUGGCAGAGAUGUUAGUGACCUGUAUGAAGAGAGUGACACCUCAGGGACUCACCUGUUCGCCAGGUUGACGGGGAGUGGGCGUUAGUCACCUGUCUACCACGUCGGGGUGGAACUUCGAUAUGAUGCUGUCUUGUCGAUGCUGGCUACUUGAUUGGCUGGUGGGUGAGUGACGAAUGGCAUCCCUCGGUGUAUGUGUCGAGCGAAUGCACGAAGUAAAAUAUGGAACUGAGGACCAGCAGGACACUUCUCGGCACGACAUCAGAGCGGAUCAUCUGUCCAUCGAGACUAGACGGGACUCGGGAGGAGGGACGCUUGGGUUAGUCCUAUGUUCUCUGGUUCUUAGUUCACUUGAGCUCCUGUUGAGCUGACUCGGACGCCGACUACGAAACAAUCCUCAACAGACUUCAGCGAACACAUCAGUCAGGACCCUGGACUGUGUUGAAGGACUCAGGGCCGUGCUUAGGGGCAGGCGGACGAGGCAUCUGCCUAGGGCCCCGCGCUUUUGAUUGAUAUGGUAACUAGGCAUAUGGAAGUGUAGUCAGUCGUGGCGUGAGGGCCCCGCACAUGCCCUUUGCCUCGGGCCCCGCGGGGGCUAAGAACGGGCCUGGAAGGACUACACAGAAAGACAGAGCUGGCCCCGUAUAUGUGUAGACCCGAGAAGGGGUUUAAAAGGGUGUGUGUAGGUGUGAGCUAGGGAGAUUGCUUAUAAGAUAUACGGUAAUUCGUGUGUAUAUAUAUAUAUAAUUUUUAAAUAUCUCAAUAGCCUUGAAAGGGUGAAAAAAUAAAGAUUCUUCAAUCAUAGGUUUCAGAAACUGGCGACACCCUGAAAAACAUGAACUAAGGUCAUAGUUCAAGACAUAAGAGAUGAACCAAGUAGAGCUAGAUUACACAAAAUAUUUCUUCAAGAAUUUUUGAAGACUAAGUAAAAGGUUAUGAAAUGAAAUCCCACAAAUACAAGCACUGGUUAAAGAUGUCAAAUGCUGUAUUUGUCUGUCCAUGAUAGAAACAGUUUGAACACUAUUGCCCAUGUUAGCUGUAAGAUCAUUGGUAUCAAGCAGAGGAAUUUGGGUUUUUGUUACAAUUAGUAAAUUGUCAGGAAAUUGGCAUUUAGUGAUGUCUAAAUAUGUCGCUGCAAGAGAACUUGUUUUAUUAAAUUCAGGCAAACCUUAUGCUAUGCCAAAAUGCAGAAUCAAUAUAUAUAUAUACAAAAACAUUUCCUUUAUCAUUUCAACUGCUGAAUAGAAAGUGAAAGAUGUGUAUGUGUGUGUGUGUGUGCGAAGGGUGUGGUGUUAGAUGUAGGAAUUACUUUUUUAUCAAGCCAAUCAUUCUUUUACAAUGUUUCACUUUGUUUUGUAUGUGAGCACUUGCUUUGAAACUUAACGAUUUCUAAUUAACAUCUGGCAUUAAUAAUGUUUGUUAUUUGUCAAUUUCAUAAUAUUUUGUGUGUUUAAAUAACUAUGUUCAGUUAAUGUAUUCACCAGUUUUCAACAUAAACUACAAUGUUGCCCUCUCCAAAUGCCACUCUGUGUUUAGCAUGUGUGUAGACACUUUGUAAAUGCAAUGAACUCCUCCAUCGAGAGAAGCUUGGUGUGUGUGUGUAUACUAUAUAGUCCCUUGCUUUCAAAUCGUUAAAUAAUACAUCAUCUGUGUUAUCAGUGUAAUGAUGUAACGAAUUCAGUACAACCUUUGUCUGAACUCAGGAUAUAUUUGUAAAUAUUUACAUUUCAAUUUCUUCAUUUGUCUUUGCAUUCAGGGGACUUCACUGUGCCAACCCACAAGCAUUCACCUUUUGUGCGAUGACUCCCCAUAAAAUCUUUUUUUUGGGGUCACAGUGUCACUGCUAUUACAAAAUAAAACACGGUGAUUAAUGGUGAUCUCUACAAGCAAUGUUGAAACACUAAAGUUUAAUGUAUGUUCUGUAAAUUACCUCCCCUCUUCAAAGACGUGUCUACAGGCGAAAGAGAAGCAUAAUUUUAUCUCUAUGAGCACUUUAAAUAUAUAAAAAGCCUAUCUCCUAUAAAUAUAAAUGUUUUGGAAUCUGAUGGUUGUCACAGAUCGUGAAAUAUAUUUCCCGUUAAAUAGGCUUCUAAGUUUCCUUUUGAAAUCUAUGAAUAAAGAGUACAAAUGAACCAGUCCUGUGGGUUUGUGUAAUAGUAGUACUGAGUAACUUUUUUGUCCUCGCAAAAUCGGACGUCUGAAUGUCACAUCAAAAAUGUAAUUAUAUAGAACUAGAUGAGCAGUUAUCUUUUAAACUACAUUUAUGGACACUUCAUGUCACACACUUUCAACAAAAAUAUUCAGAAAAACAAGAACAUUGAAAUUAAAUUACUUCCCCUCCUUAAUGGCCAAUUUAAGGAUCGAGAUUUUGUCACAGUCUGCUAAGCUUUAGAAUUUUCAGUAGUACAAUAUUUUUAUCUAUAAUGUAGCACGACCAUUAUAAAAGAAGAAAGGUAAUAUUAGUGACAUGUUUGUCAUUGGUUACAUUCAUUAUUCGUAUACUAUUAAU